rnacentral:rRNA from 1 species
AGUGAACGCUGGCGGCAGGCCUAACACAUGCAAGUCGAACGGCAGCACAAGAGAGCUUGCUCUCUGGGUGGCGAGUGGCGGACGGGUGAGGAAUGCAUCGGAAUCUGCCCAUUUGUGGGGGAUAACCUCGGGAAACCGGGACUAAUACCGCAUACGACCUACGGGUGAAAGCAGGGGAUCUUCGGACCUUGCGCAGAUGGAUGUGCCGAUGCCGGAUUAGCUAGUUGGAGGGGUAAAGGCCCACCAAGGCGACGAUCCGUAGCUGGUCUGAGAGGAUGAUCAGCCACACUGGGACUGAGACACGGCCCAGACUCCUACGGGAGGCAGCAGUGGGGAAUAUUGGACAAUGGGCGCAAGCCUGAUCCAGCCAUGCCGCGUGUGUGAAGAAGGCCUUCGGGUUGUAAAGCACUUUUGUUGGGAAAGAAAAGCAGCCGGUUAAUACCCGGUUGUCAUGACGGUACCCAAAGAAUAAGCACCGGCUAACUUCGUG